rnacentral:rRNA from 1 species
GUGAGGAAUUUUCCGCAAUGGGCGAAAGCCUGACGGAGCAAUGCCGCGUGAAGGAUGAAGGCCUAUGGGUUGUAAACUUCUUUUCUCAGAAAAGAAUUAUGACGGUAUCUGAGGAAUAAGCAUCGGCUAACUCUGUGCCAGCAGCCGCGGUAAGACAGAGGAUGCAAGCGUUAUCCGGAAUGAUUGGGCGUAAAGCGUCUGUAGGUUGUUUAAAAAGUAUUCUGUCAAAGAUUAGGGCUUAACCCUAGAUAGGCAGAAUAAACUUUUAAGCUAGAGUUUGGUAGAGGCAGAGGGAAUUCCCGGUGGAGCGGUAAAAUGCGUAGAUAUCGGGAGGAACACCAAAGGCGAAGGCACUCUGCUGGGCCAAUACUAACACUGAGAGACGAAAGCGAGGGGAGCAAAUGGGAUUAGAAACCCUUGUAGUCC